AGGGAUGGGGGCCGGGCAUGAAAGGAGUAACCCACCGGGCCGGGGCGGGGCCUAGUGCGUCACUCAUUCUCUGGCCCAAUGGGAAUAGUUCUGGAGCGCAGUCGGCUGGCGUCCCGGUCCCUCCUGCGCACUAACUGAGGGUGAAGGAUGUCGGUUGGGUCUGCUAGGAGGGGCCAGGAGCCGGCCGGCAGAGAGCGGCUCGUGGGUCCCAGGACCCCUGACGUCCCUAGGUUGUACUGGGAGCUUUUGCAAGAAGUGGAAUAUGUUGAAAUACGAAAAUACCUAGAUUUAACAUACCACCUAUCAUAAAGAGAUUCAGGCGCCUUUCUUCUACUUUCUUGGGUGCAAAGGCCUUUUCAUUCCCUUUACCAAUUGCAUAAUCACCCACUGCCUCAAGUAACAACAGAAAAACUUAAACUUGGUAAUAUCUUAGGCACAGCAAAAACUUCCUCAACAUUUUUUGCUCCAGACCUCAUAUCUCCCCUUGGCCUGUGUUACUGAAUAUUAGUGGAAGAAAGAACCGAUGUUGCAACAAAAGUCUCUGGCAGUGCUAACUGGCUUGACAUCAAAAUUGAAUUACAAAAACAAAAAAAGAAAAAAAUUGAAUUACAAAAGUGUGGUUUCAAAACUUCCUUGGGUUCUCAGAGCUGCUGGGUAAUUAUUUCCUGUGUCCCCCCAAAGCAUUUAUUUAUUCAUUUAAUUUGUCAUUAACUGCUUAGCAUAAUAGGUAAGAAUAUGAACUCUGAAGCCAGACUACAAGAGUUGGAGUCUUGGCUCUGCAGUUACUAUGACCUUCAACAAGUUAACUGAUGUCUCCAUGCCUUGAUUCCCAAAUGCAGACAUAAAUAAAACCUAUCAGGCCUGGCGUGGUGGCUCACACCCAUAAUCCCAGCACUUCGGUAGGCCGAGGCAGGAGAAUUGC
rnacentral:lncRNA from 1 species